GCCUUCGGGGUGUAACGGUAGCACACUCGGCGUGUAUUCGAGAGGUUCAGGUUCGAGUCCUGGCGAGGGCA
rnacentral:tRNA from 1 species